UUAAUACACUGCUCUGAUAGGGUAGUUUAAUACACUGCUCUGAUAGGGUAGUUUAAUACACUGCUCUGAUAGGGUAGUUUAAUACACUGCUCUGAUAGGGUAGUUUAAUACACUGCUCUGAUAGGGUAGUUUAAUACACUGCUCUGAUAGGGUAGUUUAAUACACUGCUCUGAUAGGGUAGUUUAAUACACUGCUCUGAUAGGGUAGUUUAAUACACUGCUCUGAUAGGGUAGUUUAAUACACUGCUCUGAUAGGGUAGUUUAAUACACUGCUCUGAUAGGGUAGUUUUAUACACUGCUCUGAUAGGGUAGUUUAAUACACUGCUCUGAUAGGGUAGUUUUAUACACUGCUCUGAUAGGGUAGUUUAAUACACUGCUCUGAUAGGGUAGUUUAAUACACUGCUCUGAUAGGGUAGUUUUAUACACUGCUCUGAUAGGGUAGUUUAAUACACUGCUCUGAUAGGGUAGUUUAAUACACUGCUCUGAUAGGGUAGUUUUAUACACUGCUCUGAUAGGGUAGUUUUAUACACUGCUCUGAUAGGGUAGUUUAAUACACUGCUCUGAUAGGGUAGUUUAAUACACUGCUCUGAUAGGGUAGUUUAAUACACUGCUCUGAUAGGGUAGUUUAAUACACUGCUCUGAUAGGGUAGUUUUAUACACUGCUCUGAUAGGGUAGUUUAAUACACUGCUCUGAUAGGGUAGUUUAAUACACUGCUCUGAUAGGGUAGUUUAAUACACUGCUCUGAUAGGGUAGUUUUAUACACUGCUCUGAUAGGUUAGUUUAAUACACUGCUCUGAUAGGGUAGUUUAAUGCUCUGAAGACUGUUGAUGGAGACGGACUGACUGGAAUGUUUUGGUUCCUGAUAUAUGGAGGGGUCAAAUCUGAAGCCCUAUUCUCUAUGUAGUGCACUAAGGGGAAUGAGGGGUCAAAUCUGAAGCCCUAUUCUCUAUGUAGUGCACUAAGGGGAACGAGGGGUCAAAUCUGAACCCUAUUCUCUAUGUAGUGCACUAAGGGGAUUAGUAGGGGUCAAAUCUGAAGCCCUAUUCUCUAUGUAGUGCACUAAGGGGAACGAGGGGUCAAAUCUGAAGCCCUAUUCUCUAUGUAGUGCACUAAGGGGAUAGUAGGGGUCAAAUCUGAAGCCCUAUUCUCUAUGUAGUGCACUAAGGGGAUAGUAGGGGUCAAAUCUGAAGCCCUAUUCUCUAUGUAGUGCACUAAGGGGAACGAGGGGUCAAAUCUGAACCCUAUUCUCUAUGUAGUGCACUAAGGGGAUAGUAGGGGUCAAAUCUGAAGCCCUAUUCUCUAUGUAGUGCACUAAGGGGAUAGUAGGGGUCAAAUCUGAAGCCCUAUUCUCUAUGUAGUGCACUAAGGGGAACGAGGGGUCAAAUCUGAAGCCCUAUUCUCUAUGUAGUGCACUAAGGGGAUUAGUAGGGGUCAAAUCUGAAGCCCUAUUCUCUAUGUAGUGCACUAAGGGGAACGAGGGGUCAAAUCUGAAGCCCUAUUCUCUAUGUAGUGCACUAAGGGGAUUAGUAGGGGUCAAAUCUGAACCCUAUUCUCUAUGUAGUGCACUAAGGGGAACGAGGGGUCAAAUCUGAAGCCCUAUUCUCUAUGUAGUGCACUAAGGGGAUUAGUAGGGGUCAAAUCUGAAGCACUAUUCUCUAUGUAGUGCACUAAGGGGAUAGUAGGGGUCAAAUCUGAGCCCUAUUCUCUAUGUAGUGCACUAAGGGGAUUAGUAGGGGUCAAAUCUGAAGCCCUAUUCUCUGUAGUGCACUAAGGGGAUAGUAGGGCUCCUCACUAUGAAGGGAAUAGUGGGGAAAACACCGGUCGGAUAUUUUGAAGACGAAGCCUUUUUGUUACUGAUACGGUUGUGGUUUUAUACAGUACCAAUGUGAAAGCACAUUGACGAUCUAUAUUCCUUUAAUUAUGAAUGACACGAUGCUUUAUGGAUUCAUCCCAGACUGCUCUCUGUUUUCUACACAGAUGCAGACCUUUGAGGGAAAACUUUUAUACUUUGGGUUUUUGGAAUAAUAAAAAAAUAAAUAAAAACAUGUUUUGAACA